UGACCUCAAAUCAGGUGGGACUACCCGCUGAACUUAAGCAUAUCAAUAAGCGGAGGAAAAGAAACUAACAAGGAUUCCCCUAGUAACUGCGAGUGAAGCGGGAAAAGCUCAAAUUUAAAAUCUGGCGUCUUCGGGCGUCCGAGUUGUAGUUUAGAGAAGCGUUUUCCGUGCCGGACCGUGUACAAGUCUCCUGGAACGGAGCGUCGUAGAGGGUGAGAAUCCCGUCUUUGACACGGACUACCGGUGCUCUGUGAUGCGCUCUCAAAGAGUCGAGUUGUUUGGGAAUGCAGCUCAAAAUGGGUGGUGAAUUCCAUCUAAAGCUAAAUAUUGGCGAGAGACCGAUAGCGAACAAGUACCGUGAGGGAAAGAUGAAAAGAACUUUGGAAAGAGAGUUAAACAGUACGUGAAAUUGUUGAAAGGGAAACGCUUGAAGUCAGUCGCGUCCGCCGGGACUCAGCCUGGUUUUUAC
rnacentral:rRNA from 1 species